rnacentral:rRNA from 1 species
GACGAACCGAGCGAACGUUGUUCGGAAUCACUGGGCUUAAAGGGCGCGUAGGCGGAUUGCUAAGUCAGGGGUGAAAUCCUGGAGCUCAACUCCAGAACUGCCUUUGAUACUGGCGACCUUGAGUCCGGGAGAGGUGAGUGGAACUGCGAGUGUAGAGGUGAAAUUCGUAGAUAUUCGCAAGAACACCAGUGGCGAAGGCGGCUCACUGGCCCGGUACUGACGCUGAGGUGCGAAAGCGUGGGGAGCAAACAGG